AGCGAACGCUGGCGGCAGGCCUAACACAUGCAAGUCGAACGAAGUCUUCGGACUUAGUGGCGGACGGGUGAGUAACACGUGGGAACGUGCCUUUAGGUUCGGAAUAACUUAGGGAAACUUGUGCUAAUACCGAAUGUGCCCUUCGGGGGAAAGAUUUAUCGCCUUUAGAGCGGCCCGCGUCUGAUUAGCUAGUUGGUGAGGUAAAGGCUCACCAAGGCGACGAUCAGUAGCUGGUCUGAGAGGAUGAUCAGCCACAUUGGGACUGAGACACGGCCCAAACUCCGACGGGAGGCAGCAGUGGGGAAUUUUGCGCAAUGGGCGAAAGCCUGACGCAGCCAUGCGGCGUGAAUGAUGAAGGUCUUAGGAUUGUAAAAUUCUUUCACCGGGGACGAUAAUGACGGUACCCGGAGAAGAAGCCCCGGCUAACUUCGUGCCAGCCGCCGCUGUAA
rnacentral:rRNA from 1 species